UGCAAGUCGAGGGGUAUAGUUCUUCGGAGCUAGAGACCGGCGCACGGGUGCGUAACGCGUAUGCAAUCUACCUUUUACAGAGGGAUAGCCCAGAGAAAUUUGGAUUAAUACCUCAUAGUAUUAUGAAAUGGCAUCAUUUUAUAAUUAAAGUCACAACGGUAAAAGAUGAGCAUGCGUCCCAUUAGCUAGUUGGUAAGGUAACGGCUUACCAAGGCUACGAUGGGUAGGGGUCCUGAGAGGGAGAUCCCCCACACUGGUACUGAGACACGGACCAGACUCCUACGGGAGGCAGCAGUGAGGAAUAUUGGACAAUGGGCGCAAGCCUGAUCCAGCCAUGCCGCGUGCAGGAUGACGGUCCUAUGGAUUGUAAACUGCUUUUGUACGAGAAGAAACACUCCCACGUGUUGGAGCUUGACGGUAUCGUAAGAAUAAGGAUCGGCUAACUCCGUGCCAGCAGCCGCGGUAAUACGGAGGAUCCAAGCGUUAUCCGGAAUCAUUGGGUUUAAAGGGUCCGUAGGCGGUUUAAUAAGUCAGUGGUGAAAGCCCAUCGCUCAACGGUGGAACGGCCAUUGAUACUGUUAAACUUGAAUUAUUAGGAAGUAACUAGAAUAUGUAGUGUAGCGGUGAAAUGCUUAGAGAUUACAUGGAAUACCAAUUGCGAAGGCAGGUUACUAC
rnacentral:rRNA from 1 species